CAGGCCACGCCCCCACACCUCAGAGUGACAGCCUGGACACCUCCUCGGGAGGAGGGGCCUAUGAAAUCACCAUGAGGGGCACGUUCCAUGAGCUGACGCACGCUCCCUUCACUGCAGAGUAUGAGGACACCACCCACUCACAGCCAGUGGACAGGGAGGCGGGCUCCCUGGGUCCCGGCGCCAUUGCUGCCAUCGUCAUUGCUGUAAUCCUGGGGGCCUCAGUCCUCAUGGCGUUGAUUGUCAUCACUGUGAAGAAAUUCACAAGCUCGUAGGUAGAGCCAGCACCUGCUCCCCCUGUCUCCCUCAGUGGCUCUCUCUCUCUUUAGAACCUCUUUAGUAGGACUGGACAAAGAAUUAGAAGCACGUGCCAUAACACUGUCAAUGGGGUCAAAUUGUGAACUGCCAGGAAAUCUGGUCAUGUGACCCCACAAAAAAAAAAAAAAAUAUUCCUAGCACCUUCGUAAAUGCUGUUAGUAUAGUUUUUCGGCUUGCUCUAUAUUACUGUAUGUGGCAUCUAUUCAGCAUCUAUAUACACUUGAUCCAGUCUUUGUUGUGUUUUUACAAUCCAAUCUGCAACUGGACAAUAUAUGAUUCCCAUUUAA